CAAUAAUCCUUAUGCCAAAUCUGUGUCAGUGAGUUAGUAAAAGAUUUAUUGACCUAGGUAUGUCACGAGAGUCAAAUGA
rnacentral:pre_miRNA from 1 species